AUGGACACCGGGGUGCCUGCCUUUCCCAUGAGCCCGGUGAUGGCGGAGAUGUUCCGGCAGCUAGGCUUUGACCCGGAUCAGGUGGAGGGCUUCCUCGCCCACUUCCUCUCCUACACCCACUGCGCCCUCCCGGAGCCGCCCGUGACGGCCGACGCUCGCCUCUUCGCCCUCCUCCCCGACAACUCCGUCGACCACUUCAGCCGCCCCCCCGACGCGCUCCUCGGCAAUGUCGUCUCCCGCCUCCCCGUCAAGGACGCCGCGCGCACCGCCGCGCUCUCCCGGCGCUGGCGCGGGGUCUGGCGCUCCGCCCCGCUCGUCCUCGUCGACGCCCACGUCCACCCCGCGGGCACCGCGUACGCGCAGCGCGUCGCCUGCGCCGUCUCCCGCGUCCUCGCCGCGCACCCGGGCCCCUUCCGCUGCGUCCACCUCACCGAGUCCCCCCUGCUCACGGCCUGGCUCCAGAUCGUCGCCGGCAAGGGCAUCCAGGAGCUCACCCUCGUCAACCGCCCGUGGCCGCUCGAGAUCUUUCUCCCGUCCACCUUCUUCUUAGGCAUGGAAACCCUCACCCGACUCUACCUCGGCCACUGGAUCUUCCCCGUCACGGCCGACCUCCCGCGCGCCCCCUGCUUCCCCAACCUCCAUGAGCUCGGGCUCUGCGACGUCGUCAUGAAGACCGGGGAUUUGGACUUCAUCCUCGACAGGAGCCCCGUGCUGGAGACGCUAUCUCUCGAAGGGGGGAGGCUCGAGCAUUGCCUCCGCCUUGUCAGCCAAAGCCUCCGGCGCGUGCAGAUCAUCGGGUGCUCGGUUCAAGAAAUCUUCGUGGUGGACGCGCCGUGCCUUGAGCGGCUCAUCCAGUCGGGAGGCUGGUGCCCUGAAGACACUGACGGCAACUGCACCAGGCUAAAGAUUGGCCAUGCCCCCAUGCUGCACAUGUUGGGAUACUUGGAGUUGGAUUCAGGGCACGUCCUAGAGGUCGGCAAGACCAUCAUCAAGGCUGGGACAAGGGUGAGCCAGAGCACCAUGGUACCAAGCGUGGGGAUCCUGGCUUUGGAGGUGCGUUUCGGAGUCCGCAACGAUGCCAAGAUGGUUCCCAGUGUCCUCAGGUGCUUUCCGAAUGUCGAGACGCUCCACAUCAAGUCUGCGAAAACUGAUCGAUCCACUGGCAAGCUGAACCUGAAGUUCUGGCACGAGUGUGGUGACAUAGAGUGCAUCCGGUCGCGCAUCAAGCUGCUGGUUUUCCAUGAUUUCCGAGGGGGCCGAGGCGAGCUCGCCUUCCUCAAAUACUUCUUUGAGACCGCAUUGGUGCUGAAGAAGGUGGUGAUUCUGUUCGCCGUUGGCUUCGCUUCGACGGAGGAGGCGCGGUCCAAACUGUCGAGCUUGGGGUCGGUGAAACGGGCCAGCGAAACCUCUACAGUGCUGGUCACCGUACCUUCUGAUCCUAAAGAAGGUUCCAUUCGGAGCUUCAAAAUAGGAUCUCGGUUUUCUGCUGACGACCCUUUUGCAAACUACAGUACUAAAGUCACAGCAAGCGAACUGCAGUACCUACGUAGGAGUAUAUUUCAUCCUGCAAAGUAA
rnacentral:rRNA from 1 species